rnacentral:tRNA from 1 species
GUCCAAACCCAGGGAUUGAACCCAGGUCUCCCACAUUGCAAAUGGAUUCUUUACCAGCUGAGACACAAAGGA